rnacentral:rRNA from 1 species
UACGGAGGGUGCGAGCGUUGUCCGGAAUCACUGGGCGUAAAGGGCGCGUAGGCGGCCUGAUAAGUAGGGGGUGAAAUCCUGCGGCUUAACCGCAGGGCUGCCUUCUAAACUGUCAGGCUAGAGCACGGUAGAGGCAGAUGGAAUUCCCGGUGUAGCGGUGGAAUGCGUAGAGAUCGAGAGGAACACCUGCGGCGAAGGCGGGUUGCUGGGCUGACACUGACGCUGAUGUGCGAAAGCUAGGGGAGCAAACAGG